rnacentral:lncRNA from 7 species
GAGACGGAACCGCGGCACGACGCGAGUGGUGCUGAGGACAGCAGCGCCGGAGCCGGAAGGGAGGGAGAGCGGCACCGGGACAGGGAAAAACACCUGCGCGGCCAUAACCCACCUCCCUGUGCGGAAUGGAGGAAUCUGUCCAGAGCUGUGCCCCUGCUUGCCACAGGAGCUGCGCGGGAGGAGAAGAACGUGGGCCAAAAGGAAUGGAGGAAUCUGUCCAGAGCUGUGCCCCUGCUUGCCACAGGAGCUGCGCGGGAGGAGAAGAACGUGGCCAAAAGGUAAGAGGAGCUCCUUUGGGUUCUGGGCUUGAAGCAAAGCUGAGAAGCCAUGCCCGGGAGGAGGUGUGGGUAGCUACAGGCCACCUUGCUAUCUCCCCAAGAGAUGAGGUGUGUGGGCUAGGCACCGGGCAGGAGUGCUGGCCAGAAGCAAGCAUCUCUGUGGAGGAAGGCAAAGGGCGGAGGAGGUUCAAGGGUAGCUACCGGGCAUGGCCUUGCUCAGCAAGGGGAGGAAAAGCCUGAAGGGCACGAGAAGGGGAUAGAGAAGGGCAGGCAGUAGGCGUGAAGCUGCGAGCAGAGUAGAGAGCAACUUGGCAGAGCAGCAAGCAGAGUAGGCAAGUGUUGAGGUUUGGCGUGAGUAGCAGCAAAAGCCCAGAGCAUCAAGAAGCAGGAAGUGAGGAGAAGGUAAGUGAAGGGCAGGCAAGGUAAUGGGAGGCAAAGGCAAGGGGAAAGGGGGGGGUAAGGGAGAAAGAAGGGAUGGGGAUGGGGAGGGGAUGGGUGAAGAGCAGAGCGGAGGGAAGGGCUGAGGGGAGGGCUGAAGGCAAACCUAUGAUGAAAAAGAAAAGAAAAAAAUAAGAACAAAAAAUAUGAAAAAAGAGAAAAAAAGAAAAGAAAAAUAAGAAAAAGAGAAAAAAAUGAAAAGAAAAAAAGAAAAAAAUGAACAAAAAAAGUAAAAAGAGAAAAAAUGAAAAAAAAGAAAAAAAGAGAAAAGAAAAAAAAAAAAAAAAAAGAGAAAAGAAAAAAAAGAAAAAAAAGAAAAGAAAAAAAUGAACAAAAAAGAGAAAAAAGAGAAAAGAUAAAAAAAAAAAGAUAAAGAAAAGAGAAAAGAAAAAAAGAAAAUAGAAAUAAAAAAGAGGACAGAAAAAUAUGAAAAAAGAAAAAGAAAAAGAAAAGAAAAAAACAGUAGAUGAAAAAAGAAAAAACAAAAGGAAAAACGAAUAAUGACAAGAGAAGAAAGGUAAAGAGAAAAGAAGAAAAAAGCCAAGUCAAAAAGUAAAGAAUAACUCGAAGGAAGGAGUGGAUGGCAAGAAAUACAGAGAAAGCAGUGCAUAGCACAGCAGAGCAAAGCAAGGCAAAAUAGCAGCCAAAGCCACGAGAAUCAAGAAGUCAGUGAAGAGCAGGAAAGGUAAGUUUCCCUUAAAGCAAGGG